CUGGAAUGCUCACACUUGAUCUAUAUGACAAUGAUGCAGAGCAACUAUUGCCCUUCACUCUGCUUGAAAUUCAAGAACUUGAAGACAAGCACCAACUCAACUACAUUGCUAUUGAACAAGCUAUUGAAAACACCAUUCUCACUUGCUUUGUGAAAAAAAUGAUGGGAAACCGUGGAUCCGGGGACACAGAAAAAUACACAGCCAUAAUAGUGCACAAAGCAAAUGCUCCAGAAAUCAUAUCAAAGAUUCCUACAACCCCAGCAUCGAUUGCUACUUCCUCCACAUGCGCUUCCUCGACUCCAGGACCAUCAACUGCAGAAGCUGUCCCAAAACACUCAACUUUUGACAGUGAGUUAUUCACAGCUCUCAAAAUUACAGAAAGUCCAACUAAGAGACAACGCACUGACGUGACUGAUAUGGAGCAGUAGAAUGUAAUAUCCUUACUUAAACUUUUGAUACACCUUUUGAACAUCUGAUCAUUAGCAAUCUCCAAUAUUGUAUAUAACGCUGAUGCAGCUAGAUAGCUAAAGAUCUGAACUAGAUCAUUCGCUCAGCUUGCCUACGCUUUUGAAUAUUAUGUAUAUCACAAAAAACUGUAGGCUAUGCUUUUUGAAGAGCAACUCUGUAAAUUACAUCGAUGCUAUGUUCAUAAAAUGUACUUCUAUCCAGGCUACAUGCCAUAGCUUCACAAAA